CUUCAACUUAUUCCAUGCGUUUGAAGUCAAAGAUGAUGAUGAUUCUUUGUUCGCCGAAGAGACGUCUGUUGAUAGACAGCAAGGCGUUUCUGGCUGCCUCCUUUCGACCUUUUACCAGCAACCAUCCGGGACUUUCGGGAAUGAUAAAAAUGCAGAACACAAACAAUAAUGAGGGAAUAAUGCAAAAUAUUGCUAUUAGUUUCCAACUGUCCUAAAACAAUAUACGCAAUUUGUGAAAUCCAAGAAGAUACACGUAAAAAAUUCCUAUUGACAUACUUGCGAUAGGGACAGCUGUGAGACAUUCUUUCCACGAUGAUAUAGCAAUUUCUCCUAUAUAAACGGUGAAAAACAAGUUCAGAUUGUUUGGAGAAGACUCGGAUUUACGCGUCAAAGUAAAUAACCUUCUUUUUAUGUCAAGCUUCUUUUACUUCUACAUUUAUACCUCAAUAACAUGUGUGUGUUACAUCAUUGGCCAAGUUCAAUAACAUUGUU